GAUGAACGCUGGCGGCGUGCCUAAUACAUGCAAGUCGAGCGAACAGACGAGGAGCUUGCUCCUCUGACGUUAGCGGCGGACGGGUGAGUAACACGUGGAUAACCUACCUAUAAGACUGGGAUAACUUCGGGAAACCGGAGCUAAUACCGGAUAAUAUAUUGAACCGCAUGGUUCAAUAGUGAAAGACGGUUUUGCUGUCACUUAUAGAUGGAUCCGCGCCGCAUUAGCUAGUUGGUAAGGUAACGGCUUACCAAGGCAACGAUGCGUAGCCGACCUGAGAGGGUGAUCGGCCACACUGGAACUGAGACACGGUCCAGACUCCUACGGGAGGCAGCAGUAGGGAAUCUUCCGCAAUGGUCGAAAGCCUGACGGAGCAACGCCGCGUGAGUGAUGAAGGUCUUCUGAUCGUAAAACUCUGUUAUUAGGGAAGAACAAAUGUGUAAGUAACUAUGCACGUCUUGACGGUACCUAAUCAGAAAGCCACGGCUAACUACGUG
rnacentral:rRNA from 1 species